GCUGAGAACCCGAAACCCUGGAGAUGCUGCUCUGCCUCCAUCUGUCCUGCACUCUUCCGGGCACAGCCGACUUCGGAUCCUCUAAGCAGACAGAAGACGACCAGGGCCCCGUGGAGGGCGCUCUUGAGCAGCAGCAGGAGGAAGUAUAUUGUCCAAGACAAUCUGCAAGAAACAGUUAUAUCAUCCCAAAUCAUGCCACUUUCCAAGUAACUGUUUAAAUCUCCUUGACCCUUGUGGAAACUAAGGAUAUCAGAGGAUAAAGCCCAGCUCAGAGAAUCAGGAUGGCGCACAGCACAAGCUUCAUGUAUUUGUCAUCUGUCCAUUUUCCACUGGUUCAAAAGGGCUGAUUAUCAAUCGGAAUAGGUACAAAAUGAUCUCUUCUCAGGUGCUGUGGCCUUUGGACUGUUGAUUAACACUCAAGACUGUGACACACACCACGUUUCUGGAGCUUGCUAGGCCCUCUGCCAGCUGUGUGGACAUGAACCUCGUUGCAUCAAUUGGAUUGCUUUGAGACACCGUGCCUGAAUCAGGAGUGGCACUGAGUGAUUGGGGACAACUCUUCACUGGACCUCGUCACCCUUGGCGUGCUAACUCAACCCCACUUUCCCUCACCUCUGCAUGCAGUACACAAGUAACACAGUACACAUUUCUCAAGUUGCAUUUGCCAAUGUCAAGAAAUAAAUUCAUUCAUCUUUAAUUAUAAAAUUUUGCUUACCAAUGAUGUGUAAAAUAAAAAUCAGAGAAUCUCAAGGCCA